UGAAUGAUGAGCUAAUGGAUGGAGCGACAGCGGGAGCCAUGUCAGUAAUAUCGGAGACCGGUUGUUCAAAUAGAGAUGUAUUCAAACAAUACUUGGAGACCCAUGUCAUGAACGCCAAUGAUCGACCAAUCAGAGUGGCCGAUUGCACAAGAAGCGUCAGAGCGAUCCAGACAUACAACUGUCAACUGAAAAACGAGGUCACGCGCGUUGUCACGUAGACAGCGGGUUUGCUGUGUUAAAAAGGCCUACAGACGAAGCGACGUAGA